rnacentral:rRNA from 1 species
GACGAACGCUGGCGGCGUGCCUAAUACAUGCAAGUCGAACGAGUGGCGGACGGGUGAGUAACACGUGGGAACCUACCCAUCAGAGGGGGAUAACUACUGGAAACGGUGGCUAAUACCGCAUACUAUCGGAUGAACCCAUAUGGGUUUAGCUAGUAGGUGGGGUAAAGGCUCACCUAGGCGAAGAUCUCUAGCUGGUCUGAGAGGAUGACGUGCCACAAUGGGACUGAGACACGGCCCAGAAUCCUACGGAAGGAGGCAGUGGAGAAUAUUGAACAAUGGGCGCAAGCCUGAUGCAGCCAUGCCGCGUGUAUGAAGAAGGCCUUAGGGUUGUAAAGUACUUUAAGCGGUGAGGCGUUACCCGCAGAAGAAGCACCGGCUAACUCCGUGCCAGCAGCCGCGGUAAUUC